rnacentral:rRNA from 1 species
AGUGAACGCUGGCGGUAGGCCUAACACAUGCAAGUCGAACGGCAGCACAGUAAGAGCUUGCUCUUACGGGUGGCGAGUAGCGGACGGGUGAGGAAUACAUCGGAAUCUACUUUUUCGUGGGGGAUAACGUAGGGAAACUUACGCUAAUACCGCAUACGACCUACGGGUGAAAGCAGGGGAUCUUCGGACCUUGCGCGAUUGAAUGAGCCGAUGUCGGAUUAGCUAGUUGGCGGGGUAAAGGCCCACCAAGGCGACGAUCCGUAGCUGGUCUGAGAGGAUGAUCAGCCGCACUGGAACUGAGACACGGUCCAGACUCCUACGGGAGGCAGCAGUGGGGAAUAUUGGACAAUGGGCGCAAGCCUGAUCCAGCCAUACCGCGUGGGUGAAGAAGGCCUUCGGGUUGUAAAGCCCUUUUGUUGGGAAAGAAAAGCAGCAGGUUAAUACCCCGCUGUUCUGACGGUACCCAAAGAAUAAGCACCGGCUAACUUCGUG